GUCAGAUCAUAUCAUAAACGAAAGCUGCAGCUUUUCUUCUUGUUUCCCGAACGAAAUAUGGCAAAUGUGGGUAACAGCUGUCGCUUUGUUAGCUGGUUAGUGAAUUCUGAUUUAAAUCACCCCGACAGCACUGAUGAUGAUGAUGAUGAUGAUGAUGGUAUUUCUGAAGAUGGACUGAAGAUGUGUGAAUGUAACGCUCCAGUCGCUGAACUGGAUUCAGGUCUGUUUGAGCCUGAGGAAGAGUACCAUCUACCCCGGAGCAGCCCUGUCAUAUCCCGCAAGAGACAGAACACAGAGACAGAAAAACAGUUUGGUCUGUCUUUGACACCUCCAAUAUGGGAACUAUCUAUCUCCCCAACUGUGAAAUCUAACUGUUCAAGUCUGCACAGACUGGUAGAGUCCAGUCGCUCACAGGAAAAGAGAAACCUUGAUCACGGUGUUUCACCCAAGGGCUCUUCAGGACACACACAGCUCCUCUCAGAUAGUCAUGGCACAGUGAAAGGAGUUUCACCUGUCUCUAAGGACACUCGCAGCCACUCUUUUGUUUCUGGGCGAUUUCAUGAGGGUUUGCAGUCAAAGACUAAAAGAAGAGCCUGCUCUGACCUCCCACCAGCAUCUGUUCAGAGGAGCUCAGACCGAGCUAAGAAACAUGGGUCAUGUGUAGAUCACUCCACUGCAGACUUCUACAGUCUGGACCAGGUACACUGUAAAAAAAAAAAAGAUUUACUUAAAAAUAUAGUGCAUUAUUUUUUGCAAGCCACUUUUUAAGCAUUUUCACAUGGAAUCUCUAGCAACAUUAACUAAGAAACUUCAGCAGUACCUAAAUAUUUGAGGAUCCUUAUAGAAAUGUUGCUUAAAUGUCAACUUAUAAACAGAGUUGCCAACUCAUUUUCAGGGGAAGUUGCUAAAGGAAGGUCGAUUUGUUACUAAAAGUUGCUAAAUGGCAUUGUGAUGUCAUUGCAUGAUGACAUUAUUACGUAAAUAUGAAGCAAAAUUACAUCAAAUCUCAGGAAACAAAUAUUUUAUGUGUUCAUUUACAUUAGUU
rnacentral:lncRNA from 1 species